rnacentral:rRNA from 1 species
AUUGAACGCUGGCGGCAGGCCUAACACAUGCAAGUCGAACGAGCGGCGGACGGGUUAGUAAUGUAUGGGGAUCUGCCUGAUGGAGGGGGAUAACUACUGGAAACGGUAGCUAAUACCGCAUAACAUCAGAUGAACCCAAAUGGGAUUAGCUUGUGGGUGAGGUAACGGCUCACGUAGGAGACGAUCCCUAGCUGGUCUGAGAGGAUGAUCAGCCACACUGGGACUGAGACACGGACCAGACUCCUACGGGAGGCAGCAGUGGGGAAGAUUGCACAAUGGGGGCAAGCCUGAUACAGCCAUGCCGCGUGUAUGAAGAAGGCCUUCGGGUUUUAAAGUACUUUCAGUUGGGAGGCGUUACCCACAGAAGAAGCACCGGCUAACUCCGUGCCAGCAGCCGCGGUAAUUC